AGGCCGCGUUGUAAUUUGUAGAAGAUGCUUUGGGUGUCGGCCCAGUCUAAGUUCCUUGGAACAGGACGUCAUAGAGGGUGAGAAUCCCGUACGUGAUUGGUGCCGGUGCCCGUGUAAAGCUCUUUCGACGAGUCGAGUUGUUUGGGAAUGCAGCUCAAAAUGGGUGGUAAAUUUCAUCUAAAGCUAAAUAUUGGCCAGAGACCGAUAGCGCACAAGUAGAGUGAUCGAAAGAUGAAAAGCACUUUGGAAAGAGAGUUAAACAGUACGUGAAAUUGUUGAAAGGGAAGCGCUUGCAACCAGACUUGCGGGCGGUCGAUCAUCCGAGGUUCUCCCCGGUGCACUCGAUCGUUCUCAGGCCAGCAUCGGUUUCGGUGGUGGGAUAAAGGCUGUGGGAAUGUGGCCCUUCGGGGUGUUAUAGCCCACGGUGCAAUGCCGCCUACCGGGACCGAGGACCGCGCUUCGGCUAGGAUGCUGGCGUAAUGGUUGUAAGCGACCCGUCUUGAAACACGGACCAAGGAGUCUAACAUCUAUGCGAGUGUUUGGGUGUCAAACCCAUACGCGUAAUGAAAGUGAACGGAGGUAAGAGCCCUUUAGGGUGCAUUAUCGACCGAUCCUGAUGUCUUCGGAUGGAUUUGAGUAAGAGCAUAGCUGUUGGGACCCGAAAGAUGGUGAACUAUGCGUGAAUAGGGUGAAGCCAGAGGAAACUCUGGUGGAGGCUCGCAGCGGUUCUGACGUGCAAAUCGAUCGUCAAAUUUGCGUAUAGGGGCGAAAG
rnacentral:rRNA from 1 species